AACACAUGCAAGUCGAACGGAAAGGCCCCUUCGGGGGUACUCGAGUGGCGAACGGGUGAGUAACACGUGGGUAAUCUGCCCUGCACUUCGGGAUAAGCCUGGGAAACUGGGUCUAAUACCGGAUAGGACCUUUAGGCGCAUGCCUUUUGGUGGAAAGCUUUUGCGGUGUGGGAUGGGCCCGCGGCCUAUCAGCUUGUUGGUGGGGUGACGGCCUACCAAGGCGACGACGGGUAGCCGGCCUGAGAGGGUGUCCGGCCACACUGGGACUGAGAUACGGCCCAGACUCCUACGGGAGGCAGCAGUGGGGAAUAUUGCACAAUGGGCGCAAGCCUGAUGCAGCGACGCCGCGUGGGGGAUGACGGCCUUCGGGUUGUAAACCUCUUUCAGCAGGGACGAAGCGCAAGUGACGGUACCUGCAGAAGAAGCACCGGCCAACUACGUGCCAGCAGCCGCGGUAAUACGUAGGGUGCGAGCGUUGUCCGGAAUUACUGGGCGUAAAGAGCUCGUAGGU
rnacentral:rRNA from 1 species